ACGAACGCUGGCGGCACGCUUAACACAUGCAAGUCGAACGAGAGAAGAGAAGCUUGCUUUUCUGAUCUAGUGGCGGACGGGUGAGUAACACGUGAGCAAUCUGCCUUUCAGAGGGGGAUACCGAUUGGAAACGAUCGUUAAUACCGCAUAAUAUAAUUGAACCGCAUGAUUUGAUUAUCAAAGAUUUAUCGCUGAAAGAUGAGCUCGCGUCUGAUUAGCUAGUUGGUAAGGUAACGGCUUACCAAGGCGACGAUCAGUAGCCGGACUGAGAGGUUGAUCGGCCACAUUGGGACUGAGACACGGCCCAGACUCCUACGGGAGGCAGCAGUGGGGAAUAUUGCACAAUGGAGGAAACUCUGAUGCAGCGAUGCCGCGUGAGGGAAGAAGGUUUUAGGAUUGUAAACCUCUGUCUUCAGGGACGAAAAAAGACGGUACCUGAGGAGGAAGCUCCGGCUAACUACGUGCCAGCAGCCGCGGUAAUACGUAGGGAGCGAGCGUUGUCCGGAAUUACUGGGUGUAAAGGGAGCGUAGGCGGGAUCGCAAGUCAGAUGUGAAGACUAUGGGCUUAACCCAUAAACUGCAUUUGAAACUGUGGUUCUUGAGUGAAGUAGAGGUAAGCGGAAUUCCUAGUGUAGCGGUGAAAUGCGUAGAUAUUAGGAGGAACAUCAGUGGCGAAGGCGGCUUACUGGGCUUUAACUGACGCUGAGGCUCGAAAGCGUGGGGAGCAAACAGGAUUAGAUACCCUGGUAGUCCACGCCGUAAACGAUGAUUACUAGGUGUGGGGGGACUGACCCCUUCCGUGCCGCAGCAAACGCAAUAAGUAAUCCACCUGGGGAGUACGACCGCAAGGUUGAAACUCAAAGGAAUUGACGGGGGCCCGCACAAGCAGUGGAGUAUGUGGAUUAAUUCGAAGCAACGCGAAGAACCUUACCAGGUCUUGACAUCGUAUGCAUAGCUCAGAGAUGAGUGAAAUCUCUUCGGAGACAUAUAGACAGGUGGUGCAUGGUUGUCGUCAGCUCGUGUCGUGAGAUGUUGGGUUAAGUCCCGCAACGAGCGCAACCCUUACUGUUAGUUGCUACGCAAGAGCACUCUAGCAGGACUGCCGUUGACAAAACGGAGGAAGGUGGGGAUGACGUCAAAUCAUCAUGCCCCUUAUGACCUGGGCCUCACACGUACUACAAUGGCUGUAAACAGAGGGAUGCAAAGCCGCGAGGUGGAGCGAACCCCUAAAAGCAGUCUUAGUUCGGAUUGUAGGCUGCAACCCGCCUACAUGAAGUCGGAAUUGCUAGUAAUCGCAGAUCAGCAUGCUGCGGUGAAUACGUUCCCGGGCCUUGUACACACCGCCCGUCACGCCAUGGGAGUCGGUAACACCCGAAGCCUGUAGUCUAACCGCAAGGAGGACGCAGUCGAAGGUGGGAUUGAUGACUGGGGUG
rnacentral:rRNA from 1 species